rnacentral:rRNA from 1 species
AGUGAACGCUGGCGGUAGGCCUAACACAUGCAAGUCGAACGGCAGCACAGUAAGAGCUUGCUCUUACGGGUGGCGAGUGGCGGACGGGUGAGGAAUACAUCGGAAUCUACUUUUUCGUGGGGGAUAACGUAGGGAAACUUACGCUAAUACCGCAUACGACCUACGGGUGAAAGCAGGGGAUCUUCGGACCUUGCGCGAUUGAAUGAGCCGAUGUCGGAUUAGCUAGUUGGCGGGGUAAAGGCCCACCAAGGCGACGAUCCGUAGCUGGUCUGAGAGGAUGAUCAGCCACACUGGAACUGAGACACGGUCCAGACUCCUACGGGAAGCAGCAGUGGGGAAUAUUGGACAAUGGGCGCAAGCCUGAUCCAGCCAUACCGCGUGGGUGAAGGAGGCCUUCGGGUUGUAAAGCCCUUUUGUUGGGAAAGAAAAGCAGCAGGUUAAUACCCCGCUGUUCUGACGGUACCCAAAGAAUAAGCACCGGCUAACUUCGUG